UACAGAGGGUGCAAGCGUUAAUCGGAAUUACUGGGCGUAAAGCGUGCGUAGACGGUUAUUUAAGUCAGGUGUGAAAGCCCAGGGCUCAACCUUGGAAUUGCAUUUGAGACUGAAUAGCUAGGGUGCGGAAGAGGGAAGCGGAAUUUCCGGUGUAGCGGUGAAAUGCGUAGAUAUCGGAAGGAACACCAGUGGCGAAAGCGGCUUCCUGGUCCAGCACCGACGUUCAGGCACGAAAGCGUGGGGAGCAAACAGG
rnacentral:rRNA from 1 species